rnacentral:rRNA from 1 species
GACGAACCGUGCGAACGUUGUUCGGAAUCACUGGGCUUAAAGGGCGCGUAGGCGGGCCGGCAAGUCCGGGGUGAAAGCCCCCAGCUCAACUGGGGAAGCGCCUUGGAUACUGCCGGCCUCGAGGGAGGUAGGGGCGUGCGGAACUUCCGGUGGAGCGGUGAAAUGCGUUGAUAUCGAUAGGAACUCCGGUGGCGAAGGCGGCAUACUGGACCACAUCUGACGCUGAGGCGCGAAAGCCAGGGGAGCAAACGGG